rnacentral:rRNA from 3 species
GAUUCGUCACACUAUCAUUAACUGAAUCCAUAGGUUAAUGAGGCGAACCGGGGGAACUGAAACAUCUAAGUACCCCGAGGAAAAGAAAUCAACCGAGAUUCCCCCAGUAGCGGCGAGCGAACGGGGAGGAGCCCAGAGCCUGAAUCAGCAUGUGUGUUAGUGGAAGCGUCUGGAAAGGCGCGCGAUACAGGGUGACAGCCCCGUACACAAAAGCGCAUGUGCUGUGAGCUCGAUGAGUAGGGCGGGACACGUGGUAUCCUGUCUGAAUAUGGGGGGACCAUCCUCCAAGGCUAAAUACUCCUGACUGACCGAUAGUGAACCAGUACCGUGAGGGAAAGGCGAAAAGAACCCCGGCGAGGGGAGUGAAAAAGAACCUGAAACCGUGUACGUACAAGCAGUGGGAGCACCCUUCGGGGUGUGACUGCGUACCUUUUGUAUAAUGGGUCAGCGACUUAUAUUCUGUAGCAAGGUUAACC